rnacentral:rRNA from 1 species
UGCAAGUCGAGCGGAGAUUGGGAGCUUGCUCCCAAAUCUUAGCGGCGGACGGGUGAGUAACACGUGGGCAACCUGCCCUGCAGACUGGGAUAACUCCGGGAAACCGGAGCUAAUACCGGGUAAUACAUCGCACCGCAUGGUGCAAUGUUGAAAGUUGGCUUUCUGAGCUAACACUGCAGGAUGGGCCCGCGGCGCAUUAGCUAGUUGGUAAGGUAAUGGCUUACCAAGGCGACAAUGCGUAGCCGACCUGAGAGGGUGAUCGGCCACACUGGGACUGAGACACGGCCCAAACUCCUACGGGAGGCAGCAGUAGGGAAUCUUCCGCAAUGGACGAAAGUCUGACGGAGCAACGCCGCGUGAGUGACGAAGGCCUUCGGGUCGUAAAGCUCUGUUGUUAGGGAAGAACAAGUACCGUUCGAAUAGGGCGGUACCUUGACGGUACCUAACCAGAAAGCCACGGCUAACUACGUGCCAGCAGCCGCGGUAAUACGUAGGUGGCAAGCGUUGUCCGGAAUUAUUGGGCGUAAAGCGCGCGCAGGCGGUCUUUUAAGUCUGAUGUGAAAGCCCACGGCUCAACCGUGGAGGGUCAUUGGAAACUGGAGGACUUGAGUGCAGAAAAGGAGAGUGGAAUUCCACGUGUAGCGGUGAAAUGCGUAGAUAUGUGGAGGAACACCAGUGGCGAAGGCGGCUCUCUGGUCUGUAACUGACGCUGAGGCGCGAAAGCGUGGGGAGCAAACAGGAUUAGAUACCCUGGUAGUCCACGCCGUAAACGAUGAGUGCUAGGUGUUGGGGGGUUCCACCCUCAGUGCUGAAGUUAACACAU